AUGAAGCUUCAUUCACUUAUUCUCAUCUGUGCCUCUGCUGCUGCUGUCUUUGGAAAUAUCAUAAGACCAAUCAACACAGAUGUUUUUGCUGAGGAAGGAUCCAAUGUGACAUUAUCCUGCAGUUUUACAGCCUCUGGAGGGUCAGAUGAUCUCCACUGGUACCGUCAGUAUGGAGGAUCAAAACCUGAAUUUAUUGUUCUCAUUUACAGAACAGCAAAAGUAGCUGAGCAGUCUAAAGUAGAUCCUAGAUUCACUGCUAAUGUCUCAAAAAGUGAGCAUGUGGAUCUGCUGCUCUCCUCUGCUGCAGUAUCAGACUCUGCUGUGUAUUACUGCGCUCUGAGGCCCACAGUGACAGGAAACACAUCAGCUCCAUACAAAAACCUGAUACAAUGA